rnacentral:misc_RNA from 1 species
AGGAAAAGAGAAAGGAUGAUAGUAUUUAGUGUUUAUUUGCGUUUUUUUUGUUUAUAUAUAUUUAGGCGUCGGAUGGUGGUUCGGUUUUUUAUGUUUUGGUUUUUUGUUUUUUGUAUUCGAUUUAUAAAAGGUAGGAGUAUAUAGUGUAUUAUUUGAUAAUUAAUUAGUAUAAUUAAUAAGUUAUUGUUUAAAAUGUAAUGAGUAGU